AAGUCGUAACAAGGUUUCCGUAGGUGAACCUGCGGAAGGAUCAUUACUGAAUUGCCGACACGAGUUGUUGCUGGUCCUCGACCCUGGGGGCAUGUGCACGCUCUGUUUGUAUAUCCACUCACACCUGUGCACCUUCUGUAGUUCUGUGGCUGGGAGGACUCUGUCCCCCUGCUGUGGUUCUAUAUCUUUACACACACACACUGUAAUAAAGUCUUAUGGAAUGUAUGCAGCGUCUAACGCAAUACAAUACAACUUUCAACAACGGAUCUCUUGGCUCCA
rnacentral:misc_RNA from 1 species